GCCAGCAGCCAUAUCGCCCUGCAGCUCAACUCACAGCCCCCUGGAGCCCAGCAGGUGUGAGCCUGGUCAGUACCUGGAUGGGAGACUCCUGGGAAAAACUAAGGUUGCUGCUGGAA
rnacentral:rRNA from 1 species